rnacentral:pre_miRNA from 1 species
GGAUAUCAUCAUAUACUGUAAGUUUGCAACGAGACACUACAGUAUAGAUGAUGUACUA